rnacentral:rRNA from 1 species
UACGGGGGGAGCAAGCGUUGUUCGGAUUUACUGGGCGUAAAGGGCGCGUAGGCGGCCACCGCAAGUCGACUGUGAAAUCUCCGGGCUUAACUCGGAAAGGUCAGCCGAUACUGCGGGGCUAGAGUGCAGAAGGGGCAACUGGAAUUCUCGGUGUAGCGGUGAAAUGCGUAGAUAUCGAGAGGAACACCUGCGGCGAAGGCGGGUUGCUGGGCUGACACUGACGCUGAGGCGCGAAAGCCAGGGGAGCAAACGGG